CCUACGGGUGGCAGCAGUCGAGAAUCAUUCACCAUGGGGGAGACCCUGAUGGUGCCACGCCGCGUGGGGGAAUGCAGGUCUUCGGAUUGUAAACCCCUGUCAUGUGGGAACAAAUUAAAAAGAUAGUACCACAAGAGGAGGAGACGGCUAACUCUGUGCCAGCAGCCGCGGUACUACAGAGGUCUCAAGCGUUGUUCGGAAUCACUGGGCGUCAAGCGUGCGUAGGCUGUUUCGUAAGUCCUGUGUGAAAGGGGCGGGCUCAACCCGCGGAGGGCACCUGAUACUGCGAGACUAGAGUAAGGGAGAGGGAGGCGGAAUGCGCGGUGUAGCAGGGAAAUGCGUAGAUAUCGAGAGGAACACUGGUGGCGAAGGCGGGUUCCUGGACAUAAACUGACGCUGAGGCACGAAGGCCAGGGGAGCGAAAGGGAUUAGAUACCCCGGUAGUC
rnacentral:rRNA from 1 species